rnacentral:rRNA from 1 species
GAUGAACGCUGGCGGCGUGCCUAAUACAUGCAAGUCGAGCGAACGGACGAGAAGCUUGUUUCUCUGAUGUUAGCGGCGGACGGGUGAGUAACACGUGGAUAACCUACCUAUAAGACUGGGAUAACUUCGGGAAACCGGGGCUAAUACCGGAUAAUAUUUUGAACCGCAUGGUUCAAAAGUGAAAGACGGUCUUGCUGUCACUUAUAGAUGGAUCCGCGCUGCAUUAGCUAGUUGGUAAGGUAACGGCUUACCAAGGCAACGAUGCAUAGCCGACCUGAGAGGGUGAUCGGCCACACUGGAACUGAGACACGGUCCAGACCCCUACGGGAGGCAGCAGUAGGGAAUCUUCCGCAAUGGGCGAAAGCCUGACGGAGCAACGCCGCGUGAGUGAUGAAGGUCUUCGGAUCGUAAAACUCUGUUAUUAGGGAAGAACAUAUGUGUAAGUAACUGUGCACAUCUUGACGGUACCUAAUCAGAAAGCCACGGCUAACUACGUG